CCUACGGGUGGCAGCAGUGAGGAAUAUUGGUCAAUGGGCGCGAGCCUGAACCAGCCAAGUAGCGUGAAGGAUGACUGCCCUACGGGUUGUAAACUUCUUUUAUAAAGGCAUAAAGUGAGGCACGUUUGCCUUUUUGUAUGUACUUUAUGAAUAAGGAUCGGCUAACUCCGUGCCAGCAGCCGCGGUAAUACGGAGGAUCCGAGCGUUAUCCGGAUUUAUUGGGUUGAAAGGGAGAGUAGAUGGUUUGUUAUGUCAGUUGUGAAAGUUUGCGGCUCAACCGUAAAAUUGCAAUUGAUACUGGCAGUCUUGAGUACAGUUGAGGUAGGCGGAAUUCGUGGUGUAGCGGUGAAAUGCUUAGAUAUCACGAAGAACUCCGAGUGCGAAGGCAGCUCACUGGACUGCAACUGACACUGAGGCUCGAAAGUGUGGGUAUCAAACAGGAUUAGAUACCCGGGUAGUC
rnacentral:rRNA from 1 species